rnacentral:rRNA from 1 species
UGCGGAAGGAUCAUUAUCGAAACUUGCACAGCAGAACGACCCACGAACACGUUCAUAACACCGGGNGGAGCCGCGCGGCGAGGGCGCUUUGGCAUCGCCCCGCGCGUUCCCUCCCGCCCUUGUUUUCAGGGGCGAAACGAACCUCGGCGCGAAAAGCGCCAAGGAAUACUCAAACAAGAGCCCUCCACCCGCGCCCCGUCCGCUGAGCGUACGGGUGGAUGCGUGCUUCUUUCGAAACCCAAACAACUCUCGGCAACAGAUAUCUCGACUCUCGCAUCGAUGAAGAACGUAGCAAAAUGCGAUACUUGGUGUUAAUUGCAGUAUCCCGUGAACCAUUGAGUCUUUGAAAGCAAGUUACGCCCGAAGCCGACAAGCCGAGGGCACGUCUGCCUGGGCAUCGCGGGGGAGGAAACUGGCCCCCUUUGUACCCCGCGCGUGCGGCCAGCCUAAAUGCGAGUCCACGUCGACGGACGUCGCGGCAAAUGGUGGUAGUAACCCAACUCUCUUGGCGUUGCGGCAAAUAGUGGUAGUAACCCAACUCCCCGACCCUUUUGGCGCUCUUGUGCUCCGAUCGCGACCCUAGGUCAAGUGGGAUUAC